rnacentral:rRNA from 1 species
UACGUAGGGUGCGAGCGUUGUCCGGAAUUAUUGGGCGUAAAGAGCUUGUAGGCGGUCUGUCGCGUCUGCUGUGAAAACCCGAGGCUCAACCUCGGGCCUGCAGUGGGUACGGGCAGACUAGAGUGCGGUAGGGGAGAUUGGAAUUCCUGGUGUAGCGGUGGAAUGCGCAGAUAUCAGGAGGAACACCAAUGGCGAAGGCAGAUCUCUGGGCCGUAACUGACGCUGAGGAAGCGGAAAGCAUGGGGAGCGAACAGG